GGCUGAAGAGACGGGCCCCCGGCGUCGGCCGUUGAGACGUGUAGAGGGGGCGGAAAUGCGGCGCCGGACGGUUGGGUCGCAGAAUUUGCACGACAAAUAGAGAAAGAGGCGGAGCUUGCGUCGUGCGUUCGUGGAAAGAUGAGAGCGGAGAAACGUAGGGACGCCGAGAGUAGAAGGAAACGAUGGUAGGCCCGUGGCGUUUUCCGCGGAGGAGACGGAGCUAGAAGACGGGGCGGAAGGGAUUAGUUGCCGGAGGGCGGAGCUUACGUAACCAGGGAAGAGUCCCAAGUCACGCAUUUCUUCGCGAGAGGUGAAAGCACUGGAGGAGCGGGGCCUUAGUUUAUUAAAUCACGUCAUGCAAAUAAAAUGGAUACACAGGCCAAUUCAAGGGUCCAGGGGAAUGCAUCGUGGGCACCACACAGCGUAGGCAUUCUGUGGGUUGACUUACCACUUUCUGAGAGAUGUAAGUUAAAGUCUUCUACUAAUAUUAUAGGGAAAAAAAAAAAGGAUCCUUGCACGGAGAGUCUGAGGGCACCCAGGAGUGGUCCCAGCUAUCCAGCCUGGCAGAGUCAGGGAAGGCUUCUCAGUGGAGGGUGAUCAGUCCCCAGAGGGAAAGGUGAGUACUUUGCCAGUGUUGGCUCAUUCUUCCACUCAGAGGGAAAUCAGGGAGAAAGGGAGUGAGAGAUGGAGUAGGGGAAAGAGAUGUGCUGAUGGGGAAGGGUGGGAGGGACAUCAUAGAGUAAGAUGAGAAAGCAAAAAGAGAUGUGGAGAGAGGUGGGGGAAGAGAAAGGGAGAAAUAUGAAGAGAGAAUGAAUUAGUGAAUAAGCAGAUGUGUACGUGCACUCACACACACACACACGUGUGUGUGUGUGUGUGUGUAGAGAGAGAGAUAAAGAUAUUUAGAGGGAUGUGGCAUGUGGGUAGAGAGAUAGGGAAGAAACAAAUGGUAAAAAAUAAUAAAGACAGACAAAAAAGAGUUACGGGCAGAAUGUUGAAGAUAUAGGAGAUAAGGCAAGAAGUGAGGGAAAGAGAGCCCAGGGAAGAUGAAGACAGGAUGUUCGCUCCACAUUACUCUCUGGGGCUGGGCAUGGGGUGUUGAUAGGACAAGGCAAGGGACAGACAGAAGCUAAAAUUAAGGCCCGGUUGGGAAAAGCCAUGUAUUGGUUCCUCAGGCUGCCUCAUGCUCUGUGACCACCAGGGGGCAGCCCUUGCCUUGCCGUGGAACCUCAGUGCCACAGCCUCUGCUUAGAUGGCCCUGAGGAGGCAGCCACUGUUGAUGGAGAAUGGCUGUUACUCCUCCCCAGAUUGUCGGGUACCUGUGCUUGUCUGGGUGGUUCAGAAAGGCUCAAUAACUUGUUCAAGAUCAUGUAAUCAGUUCGUAGGGAAGCUGGCAUUUGAAUCUAGCCUGACUCCAAGCCAGCGUUCUUAACCAUAAAAUCGGCUCACAGCAAAAGAGAAUGUGACAAUGAAUGUAUGUAUGUUCAUGCAUAACUGAAAAAUUGUGCUCUACACUGGAAUUUGACACAACAUUGUAAAAUGACUAUAACUCAAUAAAAAAAUGUUAAAAAAAUCCACAAAAUCAAUGCUUCUUCAAAAAAAAAAAAAAAAAAGGCUAGCAGUCCAUGCUCUCCCAGCAUUCCACAGGGGACCCGGUUCUCACCCAGGAUGAGCGAGGCAGGCACCCGGAACCCGGCUGCAGUGGAGCUUGCUUCCCCUAGGUUGAGCCCCUUUAUGUUGCAUGUUGAUGUUCGGGGCUCCAGGGUCCCUUUUCUCUGGUCCUACAGGAGGGCAGAUGGAGCAGGAAGAAUAGAGUUUCUCUUGGGGCAAUAAAGGUUGUUGUGAUGUGU